CGUUUUUGUAUUAAAGGCCAAACUAAGCAACAUUAUAAUAAGAACAGAUGUGUGACUGAGCAAGAGAGCGAGCUUGACAG